rnacentral:lncRNA from 1 species
GAGAGAGAAUAGACGAGCUAUGUCAAAGAAAAAAAAGAAAAAAAUUAUAAAAAAAUGUGGUUGCGCCACGUCAGCUAUAGAUAUCGGGGAUUAAUAUAGAGGUAUAGAUUAAGACCACUGAAUGAGUCUUUGAUUCAGUUUUUAUUUGGUACAUAAAUGAGAGAGAAUAGACGGUCUAUGUCAAAAAUAAAAAAAGCAAAAAAAUGUGGUUGCGCCACGUCAGCUAUAGAUAUCUUUACAAAUCCAUUAAUUGACAGUUCCUCCUGCAUACGUGUCCGCUCCUCCUUUCUUCUCUUUUUCUUUCAUCUCUUCUCUCUCAUUCCUUUCAUACCAAAUCUUUACGCCUCGGGAAGGUACGCCUCGGGAAAUCAAUAUUGGGGAAGGUAAUAAAUCUUCCCAAAUCAAUCUUGAAAAGUACCAAAUCUAUCCAAUGAUUACAUCUCGGGAAGGUACCAAAUCUUUCCAAAUCCACCUCGGGAAGGUACCAAAUUUAUCCAAAUAUUUCCUUACCUCGGGAAACGACAAAAUCCUCACUUUGAUUCCGAUGUGUAUAUAGGAGAACGUGUAUUCAUCAAGUUCGAACUUUGAAAAAUUUUCCUAAUUGUUUCUUCUUUCUCUCUCCCUCAUGCACUGAACUUUACCCGUCUUUACACUGAGUUUUAUAUUUUUUUGUAUUUUUUGCUGGAUCUUUGAGAGCUACUUGGAUUCGUGUUGCACCACCCUGAAAACGUGCCGACGGGGUGGAAGGUGUCACAGGCCUCAUCUAAAACUUUUCUCUCUAUAAUAUUUUCUACUUAAUCCGUCCUUAUAAUUUUUCGAAAACAAAAGUUAAAAUUGUUUUAUUUUAGAAUUGUUUAAAAAAUAAAUUGUUCAAGCUAAAUAUAUGUUUGCAUAUUACAUAAUUACAUAGUUUGUUAUCAAUCCAAAUUACUUAUAUAUGUAUUAAAAUAAUUAGUAAUCAUUUAAGCUAAAUAUAUAUUUUGCAUAGUUCAUAAUUACAUAUUUUGUUAUUAUUCCAUCUUAUUUUUGCAUAGCAAUUCAUUCUUGGCUACUAUUCUUUUGCUUUCUCUUACAUAUAUAUGUAUUGAUAUUUAAUUUUGUUAUUUUCCUCAUUUUUCGUAAUUAUUAUAUAUUAAAAUUCACAUCAAAAUAUUGGUGUUAAAACUGUCCGCGGCGAAGCUCGGGUUCAACACUAAUUGGGGAUUAAUAUAAAGGUAUAGAUAGAUAUCGGGGAUUAAUAUAGAGGUAUAGAUUAAGACCAAUAAAUGAGUUUUUGAUACGGUUUUUAAUUUGGUACAUAAAUGAGAGAGAAAAUAGGCGGGCUAUGUCAAAGAAAAAAAAAGAAAAAAAAUUGCAAAAAAAUAUGGUUGCGCCACUGUAAUACACUGAACUUUAGCAAAUUGCAAAGUUCGAGUGUGGGGAAUGAUAAACGGAACUACCCUACAUCUUCUAAAGGGCUUAGACAAGUUUUUGGACAAGUUAGAGAAGCGAUCGAAUGGCCGGAACCAAGAAAUUGCAUUUCUGGCGAAAUUCUGCAUUGUGUACCGGUACAGCCAUCAUCGUGUACCGGUAGACAAUGGCAGAUACGUGGCAGCAAGGCUAAUUCGGUAAUUUCACUUCUUAUACCUAUCCUUAUCACCCCAGCACGACUCCUUCAGCCUUGUGGAUGAUGCUGGAGCUCUGAGAAGUGGUCUUGCACCUCCCUUCUUCUCUCUCUCUAGGGUUUCUCUCUCUUUGAGUAAAAAUCGCCGAUUUGCGCCUAUUUCUCACCGUUCUUCGCGCUAGCUGGUUUGCGGGCCUUGGAGCAACUGUGAGUGGGAGGAAAGGACUCGCACGGGAGGUAUUUUCGCAACUCCAACUCACAGGGAAGCUGAAUUGAAGUCUAGUGAGGUAAACUAAUUAGUUUUUCUCUCUAGUUUGAGAUUAGUGAUAGUUUUUUAUGUUGGUUCUUGAUUCUUGCUACCAACUGGAUUGAGAUGGUUUAAAGUAGCAAUUGAGGAGUGGCUUUGCUGUAAUUCUUCACCCCAAAGUCAGAUUUAAAGCCUUAGAGGUAAUUAAUGAGCUUUUCUCUAUUUCGAUGAUGAAAAUGAUGAUAUUGGUGAAGUAGUGAUGCAGUUUUGGGAUUUUUAUUCACAACAGGUUUCCGAAUCUAUUUGAGCUGAGUUUGUGACCUUGUGGGCUGGUUUAGAAGGUGUUUCAACCAGGGGUAAGCAGAAUUUUCAGUUAGGAAACUGAUUAAGUGAGAUUCUGACUAGAUUAUCUAGUAUAUAAGUGUUUUGAUGCCGUUUUGGCGAUUGUUCGCAGCGAGAUUCCAACCGACCUUUGGAUCAUCUUCGGCUGUCAUUGGAGAGCCUUUAGAGGUUAAACGUGAGGUACUAAAGUGAACCAAAUCAGGGAUUCAAGCUACAACCUUGUAUAAGGUGAGGAUUUUGCCGAUUUGGAUGUUGUGGUAAUACUUUCAAUGUUUUUGGGACCUAAUUUUCAGCAGGAUUGAGAACCAGUCGAGACGAAUUUCGGGACUCUUUUGGGCUAGUUCGAGCUUAGUCGAGCUUAGUACUAAGUACUUUCACCUAGACUGAAGAGUAGAUUCGACUGUUAUCUCAAUCUAGGGGACUUGAAGGCAUUGGAUUUACCACGAGUGUGAAUUCUUCGACAAGGGUUGUCGACUUAUAGGUGGGUUUGACCUAACCAGAGCAAGUGAAGCUCCCAUAUGUUCUAUAUGAUACUAUAGAAUUGGUACAUAUGGGUACUUUUGUGAUUAUGUGAUUGAUAAGGACUUGGAACAUCAUCACCACAACGUUUGAUAUAUUUGAAAUGAAACCUCUAUGAAGUAGAGAGAACUUAUGCAUAAAAGUAUUUAUGUUUAUGUUUAGUUCAGUUGAAUAACUGAUGGACAAAUCUAUUAUACCUCUAUAAAGUAGAGAACAAUGACAUCUCUUGUGACUCUAUCGAUAGUACAUUAAUAGUGGGAAAUUUCUAAUGCAAUAUAUAAAAUUAGCAUUAUUUUCAUGUGCUUACUAAUCUAGUGGAUACUAGCAAUUUUCAUUAUUUAUCAUAUUGAGAUUCCGAUCAAUAGAUCGAAAACGACAACAUUACAGGUUAAAACAUGAUGACUGAGAUAUGUUAGACUAUGGUUUUGCUUGCUUGCCAUUGUGCUCAUUCGCACACCCUUGUGAGGGUCGCUCCCUACAAGCCGGCACUCCGGAGUUGGCCUACACGACAGAUUGCUCGCCCGUGCGGGAUUGGGUGUCGAAAUGGAUUGCCGUGGGGAGUUUAUACUACCACGGGGCCACUAGGCACGGCGCAAGCUUGACUACCUUGUGUAGGUCCUUAUGAAUCAAAUUAACUUACUAAAUGAUAGUAAUGAAUGAUUACCAUUUACAGUGUACAGUACUUACUCACAUGUUCAUGCUUUUAGUAAUUGCUAUGCUUAUCUUAUUCAGUUGAUACAUUUACAUUUGAAAAGUAUGAUUACAUAUUCCUUACCUAUUAGCAUUGUAGAUAUAUCAUGCCAUUACUGCUUUUACUUUUCAUUUAGUACAACAUUGAACCUAGUGGUGUAAUUCGCCGAGGCUGGCGGCUUACCCACUGGGAACUAUUAUUUAAUAGUUCUCAUGCCCCCUUUGUUGUUGUUUUUACAGAGCCAUCCACUGCGGGAGAGGCUAGGGAUCGCGGGAAGGAAGUCGCGUCUAGCUAGGCAUAGCGUGGAGUCCCGCUAGGUGAUCACCUCGCCGCUUGAUUUUGGACUGUCGAGGGUGAUGUGCACCAGUGUAUAGAGAGACUACCUUUGUAUAUAGUUUUUGAGGCAACCUUGUGAUGUAUAUGUUGGCCUAGAAUGUUGUAUUUAUAAUUAUAGCUUUUCUGCUUGUUGAGUUUUUGGGAUUUAGACUUACUCUUUUCUCGUUGAUAGUAUUGUGGUUUCAUACUUUGCUCUGAUAUCCUGUUAGAAUCUCUGCAAGAUCCUUCCUUCCUUGAACUUGGUUUUUGUAGACGUCUUAUAUACUGCAGGUAUAUGACGGGUCUGUGCACGUACCGGCUAUGCUUCCGCUGAUACCCGGGCGUGACAGCCACAUUAGCUAUAGAUAUCGGGGAUUAAUAUAGAGUGGUGAGAAAUGAGAUUUAAAUAGUCAAAAUGAAGAAUUGAGAUUAAAAUAGUGGCCAAGUGAUUUUAACUAUAAAAUUAAGGAGGACAAUAAAAUUCAUUAAGGGGACGUUUGGUUUGAUGAAUCUCUAGAUCCAAUGUAACUCUAGUGUAGUGGUGUUUGAGUUACCCUGAAGUGUAGUUAUUUUUUUGUUGUUUGUUUUGAUGUAACUCAAACUUCUGAAAGUUAAGUUCACCCACUUCUUUUGUUUGUUUUGAUGNGUUGCGCCACGUCAGCUAUAGAUGUCGGGAAUUAAUAUAGAGGUAUCGACGAUUUGGUACAUAAAUGAGAGAGAGAAUAGACGGGCUAUGUCAAAGAAACAAAAGAAAAAAAAUUGCAAAAAAAUGUGGUUACGCCACGUCAGCUAUAGAUGUCGGGAAUUAAUAUAGAGGUAUCGAUUAAGACCACUAAAUGAGUCUUUGAUUCAGUUUUUAUUUGGUACAUAAAUGAGAGAGAGAAUAGACUGGCUAUGUCAAAGACAAAGAAGAAAAAAAAUUGCAAAAAAAUGUGGUUGCACCACGUCAACUAUAGAUAUCGGGAUUAAUAUAGAGGUAUAGAUUAAAACUACUAAAUGAGUCUUUGAUUCAGUUUUUAUUUGGUAUAUAAAUGAGAGAGAGAAUAGACGGGCUAUGCAAAANAAAAAAAAAAAAAAAAAAAUUUGCAAAAAAAUAUGGAUGCGCCACGUUAGCUAUAGAUAUCGGGGAUUAAUAUAAAGGUAUAGAUAGAUAUCGGGGAUUAAUAUAGAGGCAUAGAUUAAAAGCACUAAAUGAGUCUUUAAUUCAUUUUUUGUUUGGUACAUAAAUGAGAGAGAAAAUAGACCGGCUAUGUCAAAGAAAAGAAAGAAAAAAAAUUAUAAAAAAAUGUAAUUACGCCACGUCAGCUAUAGAUAUCAGGAUUGAUAUAGAGUGGUGAGAAAUGAGAUUUAAAGAGUCAAAAUGAAGAAUUGAGAUUUCAAUAGUGGCAAAGUAAUUUUAACUAUAAAAUUAAGGAGGCCAAUAAAAUUCAUUAAAGACUGUUUUUUAUACGUUAAGAAGUCCAAAAAAUCCAAUACAACUUGUAAUAGAAGCCAAUUAAGACCACUAAAUGAGUUUUUGAUUCAGUUUUUAUUUGGUAUAUAAAUGAAAGAGAGAAUAGACGGGCUACGUCAAAGAAAAAAAUUGCAAAAAAAUGUGGGUGCGCCACGUCAGCUAUAGAUAUUGGGGAUUAAUAGAGAGGUAAAUGAGUUUUUGAUUCAGUUUUUAUUUGGUAGAUAAAUGAGAGAGAAAAUAGACGGGUUAUGUCAAAGAAAAAAAAAAUUGCAAAAAAAUGUGGCUGUGCCACGUCAGCUAUAGAUAUCGGGGAUUAAUAUAGAGGUAUAGAUUAAGACCACUAAAUGAGUCUUUUAUUCAGUUUUCAUUUGGUACAUAAAUGAAAGAGAGAAUAGACAGGCUAUGUCAAAGAAAAAAAAGGAAAAAAAUUACAAAAAAAUGUGGUUGCGCCACGUCAGCUAUAGAUAUCGGGGAUUAAUAUAGAGGUAUAGAUUAAGACCACUAAAUGAGUCUUUUAUUCAGUUUUUAUUUUGUACAUAAAUGAGAGAGAGAAUAGACGAGCUAUGUCAAAGAAAAAAAAGAAGAAAAACUGUGAAAAAAAAUCUAGUUGCGCCACGUCAGCUAUAGAUAUCGGGGAUUAAUAUAGAGGUAUAGAUUAAGACCACUAAAUGAGUCUUUUGUUCAGUUUUUAUUUGGUACAUAAAUGAAAGAGAGAAUAUAUGGGCUAUGUCAAAGAAAAAAAAAUUGCAAAAAAAUGUGGUUACGCCACGUUAGUUAUAGAUAUUGGGGAUUAAUAUAGAGAAUAUAGAUUAAGACCACUAAAUGAGUUUUUAUUCAGUUUUUAUUUGUUACAUAAAUGAGAGAGAGAAUAGAUGGGCUAUAUUAAAGAAAAAAAAAGAAAAAAAAUUGCAAAAAAAUGUGGUUACGCCACGUCAGCUAUAGAUAUCGAGGAUUAAUAUAGAGGUAUAGAAGAUAGAUGAGUCUUUUAUUCAGUUUUUAUUUGGUACAUAAAUGAAAGAGAGAAUAGAUUGGCUAUGUCAAAGAAAAAAAAAUAGUUGCAAAAAAAAAUGGUUGCGCCACGUCAGCUAUAGAUAUCGGGGAUUAAUAUAGAGGUAUAGAUUAAUAUAGAGAUAUAGAUUAAAACCACUAAAUAAGUCUUUUAUUCAGUUUUUAUUUGGUUCAUAAAUGAGAGAGAGAAUAGACGGGCUAUAUCAAACAAAAAAAGAAAAAAAAUUGUAAAAAAAUAUGGUUAUGCCACGUCAGCUAUAGAUGUCGGGGAUUAAUAUAGAGGUAUAGAUAGAUAAAUGAGUCUUUUAUUCAGUUUUUAUUUGGUACAUAAAUGAGAGAGAGAAUAGAUGGGUUAUGUCAGAGAAAAAAAAUUGCAAAAAAAUGUGGUUGCGCCACGUCAGCUAUAGAUAUCGGGAAUUAAUAUAGAGGUAUAGAUAGAGGUAUAGAUUAAUAUAGAGAUAUAGAUUAAAACCACUAAAUAAGUCUUUUAUUCAGUUUUUAUUUGGUUCAUAAAUGAGAGAGAGAAUAGACGGGCUAUGUCAAACAAAAAAAGAAAAAAAAUUAUAAAAAAAUAUGGUUAUGCCACGUCAGCUAUAGAUGUCGGGGAUUAAUAUAGAGGUAUAGAUAGAUAAAUGAGUCUUUUAUUCAGUUUUUAUUUGGUACAUAAAUGAGAGAGAGAAUAGAUGGGUUAUGUCAGAGAAAAAAAAUUGCAAAAAAAUGUGGUUGCGCCACGUCAGCUAUAGAUAUCGGGAAUUAAUAUAGAGGUAUAGAUAUGUGGGCCAGUCCCGCCUCCCUGUUCUCAAAAUAAUUUUUGUACAUAACUAACUUUACUUUAAAAAUUAGUUUUGAUUAAAAAUUAUAAAGUAUUUGUCUGAAUUUAAAUAAAAAUAAUUUUUUAAAGUAAUUUUAUAAAAUUGUUUGGUAAAAAAAAUUUGGUGUUUGCUAGUCUUAAUUUUUUAAUGAAUUUUAUUUUAAAAAUAAUUA